UACGUAGGGGGCAAGCGUUGUCCGGAUUUAUUGGGCGUAAAGAGCGUGUAGGCGGUUAUACAGGUCCGCUGUGAAAACUGGAGGCUUAACCUCCAGACGUCGGUGGAAACCGUAUGACUAGAGUCCGGAAGAGGAGAGUGGAAUUCCUGGUGUAGCGGUGAAAUGCGCAGAUAUCAGGAAGGAACACCCGUGGCGAAGGCGGACUCUGGCGGAU
rnacentral:rRNA from 1 species